rnacentral:rRNA from 2 species
AAAUUGAAGAGUUUGAUCAUGGCUCAGAUUGAACGCUGGCGGCAGGCCUAACACAUGCAAGUCGAACGGUAACAGGAAGCAGCUUGCUGCUUUGCUGACGAGUGGCGGACGGGUGAGUAAUGUCUGGGAAACUGCCUGAUGGAGGGGGAUAACUACUGGAAACGGUGGCUAAUACCGCAUAACGUCGCAAGACCAAAGAGGGGGACCUUCGGGCCUCUUGCCAUCAGAUGUACCCAGAUGGGAUUAGCUUGUUGGUGAGGUAACGGCUCACCAAGGCGACGAUCCCUAGCUGGUCUGAGAGGAUGACCAGCCACACUGGAACUGAGACACGGUCCAGACUCCUACGGGAGGCAGCAGUGGGGAAUAUUGCACAAUGGGCGCAAGCCUGAUGCAGCCAUGCCGCGUGUAUGAAGAAGGCCUUCGGGUUGUAAAGUACUUUCAGCGGGGAGGAAGGUGUUG